UACGAAGGGGGGCUAGCGUUGUUCGGAAUUACUGGGCGUAAAGCGCACGUAGGCGGAUUGUUAAAUCAAAGGUGAAAUCCCGGAGCUCAACUUCGGAACUGCCUUUGAUACUGGCAAUCUAGAGUCCGGAAGAGGUUAGUGGAAUUCCCAGUGUAGAGGUGAAAUUCGUAGAUAUUGGGAAGAACACCAGUGGCGAAGGCGGCUAACUGGUCCGGUACUGACGCUGAGGUGCGAAAGCGUGGGGAGCAAACAGG
rnacentral:rRNA from 1 species